UGUGAAGAGGGGGGAUAGGUGACGUAUUGGGCUAGUUAGAAAGGUACGUCGCGAGCGCCUAUCCUCUCGUUAUUGGCAAAAACGGUAUCCAUUUGGUGUCUACACCCUACCUAGCUACUGCCUGGACCGUCGGUAGCUAUCAAAGGUGGGGAUAAAGCUCCUCGUCAAAACGGCGAGUCGAGUAGACUUAAUGAGUCUCAGCGAGGAGGCCACCAAAACCCAAACACAACCAGUCAAAAAGUUUGAAAUGUUGUGAAGGUACUUCCUCGUGAAGUGCCUAAGAAACUGAGUAUAAAUCUUAGCGGUGGAUCACUCGGUUCGUGGAUCGAUGAAGAACGCAGCUAGCUGCGAUAACUAGUGCGAAUUGCAGACACAAAGAGCACUAAGAAUUCGAACGCACAUUGCGCCAUCGGGUUCAUUCCCGUUGGCACGUCUGGCUGAGGGUCGAAAAAGAAUAUCAAACAUCCGUGUGUUUUCCAACUCAUGGUGUAUUCGGCGAGCUAUGAUGGUGUUGUUGGCAAUGCUGCGUGUGUGUGUUGCGGCCUCAAAAAAGGAGAGGUCACUUCAUGUGCUCGAGGCAUGGCCGACGCGCCGACAUACCAAGCUAAGGCUUUGUGCCAUAUAUCGCUCGUAAUCAUUUGCUCCUGCGAGGCGAUGAUGGCCGUCAAGUGUCGCUCUCUUAACCAUAGAUACGGCUCCGAGCACGUGUUUGCCAAAAGGCUAUCGGUUUGGGGUGCCCGUAUCAGAAAAGCUGGAAAUGGAAGAGAGGGU
rnacentral:rRNA from 1 species